AUACGGAGGGUGCAAGCGUUACUCGGAAUCACUGGGCGUAAAGCGCGUGCAGGCGGGCUGAUAAGUUGGAUGUGAAAGCCUACGGCUCAACCGUAGAACUGCAUCCAAAACUGUCAGUCUAGAGUCUGGGAGGGGAAGAUGGAAUUAGUUGUGUAGGGGUAAAAUCCGUAGAGAUAACUAGGAAUACCAAAAGCGAAGGCGAUCUUCUGGAACAGUACUGACGCUGAGGCGCGAAAGCGUGGGGAGCAAACAGGAUUAGAUACCCUAGUAGUCC
rnacentral:rRNA from 1 species